UUAUCGUUACACACUGGAUCGGAAAGUUAUGGUGAUCUGCACUGGUUUCAAACCUCUUUAAGCUUCAAGUUGGCUUUUGAAAGCAUCGUUGUUUUACCCUACUUCAUCAACACCAUGAAAAGUGAACUGGAACUUGUGGUCUGCGUGAUUUGUUGAACUAGAAGACCAUGGAAAAAUGGCGGAGAUAUUCCCAAGUCACUUCUGAUUGUGCUGAGAGCUCAACAGUGCCAAACUUUGACAAAUUGACAUUCGCCAGUUGGUCUCAUUCAAUUCCAUUGCUGUCUGCCUAAUAAUGUCAGUGCUUUGCAGAUGCCGAGAGAGGCUGAAGUGACAAGAGGACAUUGCCUAUCAUUAGACCAAGAUUGCAGAUGGUCUUCUCGAUAUCCAGGAAGUCCAGGAGGUAGCUUCCGGUUUUGACCAUCGAGAGGAACUGGACAACUGUGUUGAAACUCUACUGGCGUUAGGACAGGAUUCCUCUGUCUGAUGCAGCUGAAAGUGUUCUCCAGGCAAUCCUCGGACAAGCUAUUGUUGAGAAUGCACUUCUGUACCUGGCUUACUUCCAGGAUUAAUGUUGCAGCAGUCACCACUACGUUUUGAACCGGUGUCCAGCUGCCCUUUUGACCAAUCUUCAGGCCACGAAAAAGAUGGAAGGUGUCCCAAUGCAAGUUUAUGGCUUUCUCUAACUCAUUCUCUUUCAAUCUGCUUAGGGCAAUUACGACAAGGUCGAACCGGUGGUCUACUUCCUCAAGGAACCAUGAUGUUUUCAGGGAGGACUGUGACCGUUUCUCCUCCUCAACCAGGUUUUUCAGGACAGCACUGGUCACUCUACUAAAGACGUGCAUGGCAGGACCAAGGAUGCUGAGGACGAGAAAGGUGUACAGUAAGAUGAACAGCCUUCAGCUUCAACAUCUUCAACACCUCCCCUAACAUUCCUGGCUCCAUCAAACGUGCUGCAUCCUCCUUAGCUUGUCCCUGUUAUAGGUGUGCAGAGUUUAUAGACAGCUACCCAUCCUUUGCACAUUGUGUAUUUUCUGUUGUUCACACACACACACUUCAGACAUUAGGAACUGAAAUAUUUUUUGAAAAUAUAAAUGAGUGUCAAACCUCCUUUCUAUGUUGCAGUCCCACCACACCUCCCUUCUGGUAUUUUUGUUGUUUUUCCCCCUAGUUUUUUAGUUUAGUUUUUAGUUAACACACACUUGUUUCACACAUUGAAAAAUGAAUAAAAUAUCUAAAAUGUAUCAGUCACCUUUUUAUGCUGCAGUCUCACCAGCUAUUUGAAAUAUGAG